rnacentral:rRNA from 1 species
GAUGAACGCUAGCGGCAGGCUUAAUACAUGCAAGUCGAGGGGCAGCACGGUUAGCAAUAACUGGUGGCGACCGGCGCACGGGUGCGUAACACGUAUACAAUCUACCUUAAACAGGGGGAUAGCCUUUCGAAAGAGAGAUUAAUACCCCGUAAUAAAUUGAACGGCAUCGUUUGAUUUUGAAAGCUCCGGCGGUUUGAGAUGAGUAUGCGUCUGAUUAGCUAGUUGGUGAGGUAACGGCUCACCAAGGCGACGAUCAGUAGGGGAUCUGAGAGGACUAACCCCCACACUGGUACUGAGACACGGACCAGACUCCUACGGGAGCAGCAGUAAGGAAUAUUGGUCAAUGGAGGCAACUCUGAACCAGCCAUGCCGCGUGCAGGAUGAC